AUGCUCGCUUCGGCAGCACAUAUACUAAAACUGGAACGAUACAGAGAUUAGUGUGGCCCCUGCACAAGGAUGACACGCAAAUUCGUGAAGCGUUCCAUUAAAAA